CUACGGGUGGCAGCAGUGGGGAAUAUUGCACAAUGGGCGCAAGCCUGAUGCAGCCAUGCCGCGUGUAUGAAGAAGGCCUUCGGGUUGUAAAGUACUUUCAGCGGGGAGGAAGGGAGUAAAGUUAAUACCUUUGCUCAUUGACGUUACCCGCAGAAGAAGCACCGGCUAACUCCGUGCCAGCAGCCGCGGUAAUACGGAGGGUGCAAGCGUUAAUCGGAAUUACUGGGCGUAAAGCGCACGCAGGCGGUUUGUUAAGUCAGAUGUGAAAUCCCCGGGCUCAACCUGGGAACUGCAAUCUGAUACUGGCAAGCUUGAGUAUCGUAGAGGGGGGUAGAAUUCCAGGUGUAGCGGUGAAAUGCGUAGAGAUCUGGAGGAAUACCGGUGGCGAAGGCGGCCCCCUGGACGAAGACUGACGCUCAGGUGCGAAAGCGUGGGGAGCAAACAGGAUUAGAUACCCCUGUAGUC
rnacentral:rRNA from 1 species